GAAACGCGAUAGUUAAUGUGAAUUGCAGAAUUCAGUGAAUCAUCGAGUCUUUGAACGCACAUUGCGCCCAUAGGUAUUCCUUUGGGCAUGUCUGUUUGAGCGUCAUUACAACCCUCAGCUAACCGCUGGUUUUGAACCUGAACGGGUGACACCGCUCCGGUUUUAAAGUUGUAAGCUCUGCUGGCCGCUCUGCCCAACCAGAACAUAGUAAACAACAUUCUUGCUUGUUUAAAGGUGAAGCUUGCAUGCCGGCCUGAAUAAAACCUUAUUUCUACGGUUUGACCUCAGAUCAGACAAGGAUACCCGCUGAACUUAAGC
rnacentral:misc_RNA from 1 species